rnacentral:rRNA from 1 species
GACGAACGCUGGCGGCGUGCUUAACACAUGCGAGUCGAACGGAAAGGCCCUGCUUUUGUGGGGUGCUCGAGUGGCGAACGGGUGAGUAACACGUGAGUAACCUGCCCUUGACUUUGGGAUAACUUCAGGAAACUGGGGCUAAUACCGGAUAGGAGCUCCUGCUGCAUGGUGGGGGUUGGAAAGUUUCGGCGGUUGGGGAUGGACUCGCGGCUUAUCAGCUUGUUGGUGGGGUAGUGGCUUUCCAAGGCUUUGACGGGUAGCCGGCCUGAGAGGGUGACCGGCCACAUUGGGACUGAGAUACGGCCCAGACUCCUACGGGAGGCAGCAGUGGGGAAUAUUGCACAAUGGGCGGAAGCCUGAUGCAGCAACGCCGCGUGCGGGAUGACGGCCUUCGGGUUGUAAACCGCUUUCGCCUGUGACGAAGCGUGAGUGACGGUAAUGGGUAAAGAAGCACCGGCUAACUACGUG